rnacentral:rRNA from 1 species
UAAGUCCCGUAACGAGCGCAACCCUUAUCACCAGUUACCAUCAUUAAGUUGAGGACUCUGGUGAGACUGCCGGUGACAAACCGGAGGAAGGCGGGGACGAUGUCAAGUCAUCAUGGCCCUUACGGAUAGGGCUACACACGUGCUACAAUGGUACAUACAGAGGGCUGCCAGACUGCGAAGUUUAGCCAAUCCCUUAAAAUGUAUCGUAGUCCGGAUUGGAGUCUGCAACUCGACUCCAUGAAGUUGGAAUCGCUAGUAAUCGCGAAUCAGAAUGUCGCGGUGAAUACGUUCCCGGGCCUU